GUUUUUUCAUUUAAAUGAAUCAAAAAAAUCGUUUGUAAAUAUGAAUUUUUUUAAACUUUAUUAUAAGAGU
rnacentral:snoRNA from 1 species